rnacentral:rRNA from 1 species
UUUAAUUGAAGAGUUUGAUCAUGGCUCAGAUUGAACGCUGGCGGCAGGCCUAACACAUGCAAGUCGAACGGUAACAGGGAGCAGCUUGCUGCUCUGCUGACGAGUGGCGGACGGGUGAGUAAUGUCU